UUAACUGGAGUCGCUCCCGCAGGGGUCUUAUUGCUGAGUCUGAAAUCAGCCCUGCGUGUCUCCACUCGCCGCUUGUGCGCGUGAGUGAGUUUUAGUAACUUCCAUCGUCCGAAAGGAGAGAUUGUGAAAAACUGAAACGUGUCAUCUCGUCAAUGUCUCUGUUUGACUCGUUUCACGAGGACACACCGGCCUUGACAGAGAAAAUACUAGAGAGAGCCACCCACACCCACUGUUGGAGAUGGUUUUACUUGCUCUCUCUUCGUCUCUCUGCUUUCACUCGACUAUGUUAAGCUAAAUCUCGCUAUUGGCACUUGGCUUGAAAUCUGAAUGCACUUUGGGGCUCUUUCCAUUACAGUGAACUUUCAGGAGUUUUGCUUCUUUUAUCAGUUAGAAAUGGAUGCUGGUGAAGCUUCUGUAGAUGUACAUGAUCAUGGCUCAAUUAUUGAUUCAAAAAAGCAUAGAGUUCAGUGCAAUUAUUGUGGUAAAGUGGUGACUACCUUCUCUCGUCUGAAGUGCCACUUAGGAGGAAUACGUGGAGAUGUAAGACCUUGUGAGAAAGUUCGUGAAGGUGUUAAGGAAUCAUUCAGAAAGAAGCUAAUGGAAACUAAACGAGAUGGUAUUGAUAAGGCAGUUGGGAAACUUUGUCACCCGGAUCUUCCCUUGAAGAGAAAUUGGUGCCACAAUUCAUCAUCUAUCAAGAAGAACAAGCUUGAAACCACUCAAACUGCCGGUUGCGGGAAUGGAAGGCAUCCAGAGAUGGAUGUUAUGGUAGAGGAUGGUGUGCCAGAAUCUUCACCUGUUAUUGGAGAAGAACUUUCCAAAAAAGCUUGUGAUGGUGAAGAAAAUAGAGAUCUGUUAUCAGUGCAGACCAAGAAGUCUAUUGGCAGGUUUUUCUAUGAAAUGGGUAUCGAAUUAGGUGUUGUCAAUUCUCAGAGCUUCCAUUCGAUGCUGAAUGCUACUCUUGGUCAAGGUCAGGCCAACUAUAAGAUCCCCACUUUGCAGGAGCUGAAGGGGUGGGUUCUCCAGGAUGAAGUGAAAGAAAUGCGAGAAUAUGCGAAAACGGUUAGAGAUUCAUGGGAAAUUUCCGGGUGCAGUAUCUUGUUGGAUGCAUGGAUUGAUGAUAAGAGUCGAAACCUUGUUAAUUUUGUGGUGGAAUGCCCAAAGGGCCCUAUAUUUCUUCGGUCAUCUGAUAUUUCGUCUAUCAUUGAUGAUGUUGAUGCCUUACAAUCAUUGUUGAAUGAAGUUAUAGAGGAGAUUGGAGCUGAAAAUGUGGUUCAAAUUGUAGCAUGUUCUACAGAGGGCUGGAUGAAGGCUCUUCGCGAGGAGUAUAGAAUCCGGAAUAGGCCAAUUUUUUGGACUGUGAGUGUCUCUCAUUGUAUUGCGCUCAUACUUGGGAAGAUUGGAAUGAUGGAUUCUAUUAGAGGGAUAUUAGAUAAGGCCAAGAUAAUUUCAAAGUUCAUUUAUGGCCAUGCAACAGUUUUGAAGCUUUGGAAAAACCAGACAUGCGAUCGUGAAUUGAUCAAGCCCUCCAAGAUAAAACCAGCGAUGCCUUUUAUGACUUUAGAGAAUAUGGUAGAGGAAAAGAGAACCUUGAAGCACAUGUUUUCCUCAUCUGAGUGGAUAUCAUCGGAAUGGGCUUCAACAGUGGAGGGGAAGAAAGUAGCUGAUUUGGUGGGGACUCCAUCUUUCUGGAGUGGAGCUGGGAUGGUCCUGAAGGGCACUAUACCAUUGGUGCAUCUUCUAUCCUUGAUCCAUGGGGAUAAUACACCGCAAAUGGCCAACAUUUAUGAGACCAUGGAUCAAGUGAAGGAGACAAUUAAAGAGGAAUUUCAAAACAAGAAGUCCGAGUACGAUCCCUUCUGGAAAGUGAUUGAUCAGAUUUGGGAUACCUACCUCCAUAGCCCCCUUCAUGCUGCAGCUUAUUUCUUGAAUCCAAGCUUAUUUUAUUCAGAGGAUUUCUACACUGACACUGAGGUGGCCUUUGGUAUUUUGUGCUGUGUUGUAAAAAUGGUAAAAGACCAGCGUAGUCAAGAUAUAGUGUCUUUGCAACUUUACGAGUAUAAAAAUGCUGGAGGUUCGUUUAAAGAGGGGAGUGCCAUUGACAAAAGAACCGAUAUUACUCCUUUUCAGUGGUGGUCACAGUAUGGUAGACAGUAUCCUGAAUUGCAGAAGUUGGCUAUCAGAAUUUUGAGCCAGACAUGCGAUGACGCCUCAAAAUAUGGGCUCAAGAGGAGUAUGGCUGAGAAACUGCUCAUAAGUGGAAGAAAUGUCAUCGAGCAACAACGAAUGUGUGACUUGGCAUUUGUUCAUUACAGUUUACAACUACAAAACUCUUGGUCAGACAUAAACAGAGACAUUAUGGCUGAUGAGAUUGAUCCUAUGGAUGACUGGAUCAGUGACAAUGUUGUGGAGAUUGCAUCCCAAAAUGGUGAAUCAGCAUGGAUUGGCAUGGAUAGUUCUGAAGUGCAUAUGCAUGCAGAAGGACCAUCUAACUUUCAACCAAAGGAAGAAGCCUGCUAAGAUGGAACAAGAACAUCUCUUUUAAUUUGAUGCUUUUGAGGUACACAAAUGUCACAUAGUGAUACUUUCUGUACAUAUGUAUGUGUUUACUUUGUGGCUCAAUGUCAUCUAUAGGAUUAGGUGAUGUUCAGGAGCUGACUCAUGGGAUGACCAUUAGGUUUGCCAAAUAUGGUGUGGGUGGUGUUUCUCAAAAGGGUCAAGGAUCCGUUUCAAAGAGUUUAUAGGUAAUUUAUACGCUCUACUAAAAUUUUAACAAAAUAGACAUUCAGGGUGCGUCUUCGACAUGAGGAAGUAAAUCGCGAUUUUGUGUGAAGACCGUAGUGACAUCGCGACUUUUAGAGAUUAUGCAUGCUUCCAAUGCUGUCGCCACUUGGUGGGAGUAUGAGAGAUGCGUGUUUCCGGUGAAAACUAUCAAUGUCGUCGCGACUUUGGGUGAGAUUAGUGAAGUAAGUAAAUAAAGGAAGAAGGGUUAUUGCAAUUUCGGAUCUUCAAAUGGGUUGAAAAAGAAAAUCUCAGUCGUUGGUCAGAUUCAAUGGCCAAGAUUUUAGUCUAUAUUUGGGACAUACAUGCAAAAAAACAUUUUCAGUUUUAGAUGUAAUUAUAAUGUGUAAAUGUAUUUUUUUUAAAUAUCAUGU